CAAAGCCCAAAAUUAACUUGUUUUGAAUGUAAUAAAUUAUUAAUAUUCUUUUAAGAAUGAACGGACAGCCAAAGAAGGAGAAUGGAGAAGUUAGAAAUUGGAAGAGAUGCAGAAACGCAAAAACAAUGAUGUGGUACAACUGGUGGUUUGCUGCUUCCACUUGACAUGGACAAAUGCUGGAGGAGCAUGUUGUCCAUGGACCUUAUGGUGAUGACAGAGUUGGAGGAUGACCUGGACAAACAUCUGGCAGUCUGUGGUCAGGCAUGUUGUGACUUAUAUGUCUAGUUUCUUGGGGAAGGAGAGGAGAAUUGGAAAUGCUAAAGGAGCGAGUAAAAGUACCCGAAGCCUGAAGAAAGCCAGUCACUUUUUCCCACCUGUUGCUGUAAGGUGCAUCUUUAACCAUAGAUCUGUGUCAACAGUAAGAGAAAGAACAUAGACUAAGUAAGAGGACAUCUUCAUCUCCGUCAUCCUUCUCCGAGA